rnacentral:rRNA from 1 species
GGUGAACGCUGGCGGCGUGCCUAAUACAUGCAAGUCGAGCGAACAGAUGAGGAGCUUGCUCCUCUGACGUUAGCGGCGGACGGGUGAGUAACACGUGGAUAACCUACCUAUAAGACUGGGAUAACUUCGGGAAACCGGAGCUAAUACCGGAUAAUAUAUUGAACCGCAUGGGUCAAUAGUGAAAGACGGUUUUGCGGUCACUUAUAGAUGGAUCCGCGCCGCAUUAGCUAGUUGGUAAGGUAACGGCUUACCAAGGCAACGAUGCGUAGCCGACCUGAGAGGGUGAUCGGCCACACUGGAACUGAGACACGGUCCAGACUCCUACGGGAGGCAGCAGUAGGGAAUCGUCCGCAAAGGGCGAAAGCCUUACGGAGCAACGCCGCGUGAGUGAUGACGGUCUUCGGAUCGUAAAACUCUGUUAUUAGGGAAGAACAAAUGUGUAAGUAACUAUGCACGUCUUGACGGUACCUGAUCAGAAAGCCACGGCUAACUACGUG